rnacentral:lncRNA from 1 species
CAUGACAGGUAGAGCACCAGGAAACAUACCCAGCAACACUGAAAUCAAUCCUAAUGAGUACGUAAAAGCUAUAACAACCAGAAGUGAAAUACAAUUAUCGAAGAUACAUGUAAAAAGACUGGUAACUAGCAAGGAAUCAACGCCUACCUCAGAUGACGAGAUUGUGGAACAAACUGAACAAACAACAGAGAAUGUUGUCAAGAAGAGUUCCAAUACAUCACGAGUUAUUGCUACCAAUUCUAUCAACCCUCAUGAGCCACAUAUUCCAUUCCCACAAAGGUUGAAAAAGCACAAAUUGGAUCAGCAAUAUAGCAAAUUUCUUGAAGUCUUCAAGAAACUACACAUCAACGUCCCAUUUGCUGAGGCACUUGUUCAGAUGCCGAGUUAUGCAAAAUUCCUAAAGGAUAUCCUCUCUAACAAGCGAAAGAUAAAAGAAAAUGAAACAGUGAUGCCAACUGAGGAAUGUAGUGCCAGAAUCCAGAAAAAGCUACCUCGAAAACUAAAGGAUCCAGGGAGUUUUAUUGUACCUUGC